rnacentral:rRNA from 1 species
AUGCCUCGCGCGCCGCCGGCGCCUCCCGCCCCGCCCCGCACGGCCUCACCGCGCGACGUCGACCGCCUCCUUCCUCUCCCAAUCCCAUCUCCUCCUCACCCACGGCUUUCUUCGCCGUUCACUGCUCCCCUCGUUGCGACCUCGCGGGAGGCAGAGGAUGGGAGGGUGCGGCACUCGCGGGCCGAUCUGCGCCGCCAGGACUCGCCCGACCCGCGGGACGCUCGAUCCGGUGACGCACCAGUCGCCGGUCGUCGGCCCGGCCGACCGACGACGGAGAUCGCAACACCCUGCACUAUCAUUCUGCCUCAGCUCAUCCUUCCUCGAUGUGUGCUGCCUGGGAGGGCGCGCGCUCGCCGCUCGACCAGAGCCACACGGCCAUCCAGUCGUCGUUGCACUUGCCACCCCCUCUGCUCCUCCACCUCAACUUCGGACACACGUGUAUUUCUGUGCCCACCCCAUGCUACCAGAGGAAACCGCGUGCCAGUCUCUCUGGAUGACUUUUAUUUUCUGCUGAGGAUCACGAAUUUGCAUAGUUUCAUGAUGUCAAAUUACUGCAUAUGUGGUGCUUCCUGUCAAUAG